rnacentral:rRNA from 1 species
UACAGAGACUGCAAGCGUUAUUCGGAUUUACUGGGCGUAAAGAGCGCGCAGGCGGUCGAUCAAGUCGAGUGUGAAAGCCCCCGGCUCAACUGGGGAGGGUCAUUCGAUACUGAUCGACUCGAAGGCAGGAGAGGGUAGUGGAAUUCCCGGUGUAGUGGUGAAAUGCGUAGAUAUCGGGAGGAACACCAGUGGCGAAGGCGACUACCUGGCCUGUUCUUGACGCUGAGGCGCGAAAGCUAGGGGAGCAAACGGG